rnacentral:rRNA from 1 species
UACGUAGGGUGCAAGCGUUAAUCGGAAUUACUGGGCGUAAAGCGUGCGCAGGCGGCUUUGCAAGUCAGAUGUGAAAUCCCCGGGCUCAACCUGGGAACUGCAUUUGUGACUGCAAGGCUAGAGUACGGUAGAGGGGGAUGGAAUUCCGCGUGUAGCAGUGAAAUGCGUAGAUAUGCGGAGGAACACCGAUGGCGAAGGCAAUCCCCUGGACCUGUACUGACGCUCAUGCACGAAAGCGUGGGGAGCAAACAGG